rnacentral:rRNA from 1 species
AGAACGGACGCUGGCGGCAUGCCUAAUACAUGCAAGUCGAACGAACACUUCGGUGUUAGUGGCGCACGGGUGCGUAACGCGUGGGAAUCUGCCCUUGGGUUCGGAAUAACAGUUGGAAACGACUGCUAAUACCGCAUGACCUCGAAAGAGCAAAGUGGGGGAUCGCAAGACCUCACGCUUUUGGAGAAGCCUACGUCGGAUUAGCUAGUUGGUGAGGUAAUGGCUCACCAAGGCGACGAUCCGUAACUGGUCUGAGAGGAUGAUCAGUCACACCGGAACUGAGACACGGUCCGGACUCCUACGGGAGGCAGCAGUGGGAAUAUGGACAAGUGGGCGCAAGCCUGAUCCAGCAAUGCCGCGUGUGUGAAGAAGGCCGUUCGGGUUGUAAAGCUACGUUUAAGUUAGGAAAGAAAAACGUCGACUACUAACACAGUGAGUCUUAGACGUACCGACGAGAAUAAGCACCGACUAC